AUCAAAUACUUAUGUCAUGAAAUAAAAUGCAAAUUAAUUACUUAAAAAUCAUACAAUGUGAUUUUCUGGAUUUUUGUUUUGUUUUUGUCUCUCACAGUUGAAGUGUACCUAUGAUAAAAAUUACAGACCUCUACAUGCUUUGUAAGUAGGAAAACCUGCAAAAUCGGCAGUGUAUCAAAUACUUGUUCUCUCCACUGUAUGUAAUCAGCUAUCCCUCCACUUUUUUCACAUCUGUUCCCCACAUAUUCAGAGGCUAAGCAGAACAGCUUAUCAUGUUACUGUCACUGUAAUUGAUUGCUUGAACACCAUAUCCGUAAUGUAUGCCAUAAGACGAGUUGUUGUUUUAGUAAGCCUAAUGAUGAGAGAUGGGCGUUUGAGGAGCCGCUGCUGCAGCAUGAGAGCUGCUAUUAAUCACGUCAUAUUUCUGGGGAUUAGGGGUUGACAUGGGCCGAUCCACUGCCAUGGUGAUUUAGACAAGAGAUAAUACAGCACCUCGUAACAUGCUGGAAACUAGGCGAAUGAAAGAAGCUGGAAAACUCGAGCUGACUGUGUAGCCAAGCCAACCCAGAAGGGUAUCGCUGAGCAGAGCAACCUUACAGGCUCUCAAUCCAGUGUAUCCACGGCAGACCAUGGUAGGAACACUAAAGUCAGCUUUCUUUAUAGGUUGGGGAAACCAGACCUUUCCUUUCUGACAGUCUUCCCACUAGGAAAACACAGUGGUGGCAUAGCAAAACUACAUAAACAACAGCUAGGCCUCGAAUAGAUCUGCUGAAGACAUAGAAUGUGAUUGGAAUGGAAACUGGGAGACUGAGUCCCUGAUUGGCCGAAGGACUGGGCAGAAGGAAAUACCAAACGAAUCGAUCCUGUCUCGAAUGAUGCAGGCAGAGGACAGGAAGAAAAUCAAACUGAGUGUGAGUUCCAGCAAAGGCGUGGUGGAGGAAUAUUGUCUGAGAGAGCGACCAAAAGAGGACGCAGCAAAAAUGAAGAACAAAGUGACCAGCACACAAGUGAUUGGUAAGAAGAAGGCCUGGUCGUGGGAUCAGUACCUGGGAGAGGAGAAGGCCAUAGCAGUUCCCCUCAGACUGUUCACUGAGGUAAGCAUCACCUUCAUCAACCAGUAGGUCUAUCUACUACUAAAGCUUGACACGAGAGCCCUAUACAUUAGGGCACACCGUAACAACGGAACAUUUUGCAGCAGAAAAUGAAAAUGUCCAGGUAGUUCCCCAUGUUUGUCUGUAUUCAGUCCGAGAUGUAAUUUACUAAACUAGAAUACAGGCCACCGAAGCUAUUAUUUGCAUUUAAAGGCCAUAAGCCAGCUGCUUGAUGUUAAACAUGGUCUGUUGAUUUAAAAGGAAGGAUGUUAAGGACCUACUGUACAGUAUAUAGUUUACGGGACUAUGUGUAACAGUAUAACUUUAGACCGUCCCCUUGCCCAUACCCGGGCGCGAACCAGGGACCCUCUGCACACAUCAACAACAGUCACCCACGAAGCAUCGUUACCCAUCACUCCACAAAAGCCGCGGCCCUUGCAGAGCAAGGGGAACUACUACUUCAAGGUCUCAGAGCAAGUGACGUCACCGAUUGAAACGCUAUUUAGCGCGCACCACCGCUAACUAAGGUAGCUGUUUCACAUCCGUUACAUAUGCAAAGGUACACUAUAUACAAAAGUAUGUGGACACCCCUUCAAAAGAUGCAGAGCAGCCGCACAUAAGCCUAAGUUCAGCCAAGCAUCGGCUGGAGUGGUGUAAAGCUUGCCUCCAUUAGACUCCGAAGCAGAAGGAAAAGUUUCACCAUCUGGCAGCUUGACAGAAAAAUCUGAGUUUGGUGGAUGCCAGGAGAACGCUACCUGCCCCAAUGCAUAGUGCCAACUGUAAAGUUUGGUGGAGGACAAAUUAUAGUCUGGGUCUGUUUUUCAUGGUUUUGGGCUAGGGAAAUCUAAACGCUAUACCAUUCGAUGACAUUCUAGACGAUUCUGUGCUUGCAACAUUGCGGGAACACAUUUUUUAAAAUAUGUGUCCACAUACUUUGGGGAAGGCCCUUUGCUGUUUCAGAAUGACAAUGCUCCCGUUCCCAAAGCGAGGUCCAUAAAGAAAUGGUUUAUUGAGAUCAGUGUGGAAGAACUUGACUGGCCUGCACAGAGCCCUGACCUCAAACCCAUCGAACACCUUAGGGAUGAAUUGGAACGCCGACUGCAAGCCAAGCCUAAUCGCCCAACAUCAGUGCCCGACCUCAUUAAUGCUCUCGUGACUGAAUGGAAGCAAGUCCCUGCAGCAAUUUUCCAUCUAGUGGAAAGCCUUCCCAGAAGAAGUAGCUGGAGUUGUAGAUCACACAGCCAGAUUUCAGAUGAGAGGGGGAGGACCAUGUGCUAAAACUGCGGAGAAAUCACGGAUCCUCCCCUUUCCUACUGCUUUUCUGCAGGACUUAUUUCUAAUGGGUCGACAAGGACCUGCAAAAUAGAUGAAAAUCACACUGUGUUUGUGUGCUCAUGCACAUGGGUGGGUGAGUGUGUGUGUGGUGGUGGACACCAGGAUGUCCCCAUUGUUUCUAAUGACUGUGAAUUUGAGAACGGACACAGCACAACUAUUAGACCGCAGUGUAGCUUAAGAAAGGAUUUGAGACUUGACCCUUAAAUGUUUAAAUAUCAAGACCCCCCCCCCCCCCCAGUGUUUCCUUGCUACCCCCCCUCCCCCAUAUCUCUCUCCUUAAGACCCUUAAUGUUUACAGUAUCAAGACCCCUCCCAGUGUUGCCUAUGCCACCCUCCCCCAUAAGACCUUAAAUGUUUUAAAUUAUCAAGACCCCCCCCCCCCCACGUGUUGCCUAUGCCCCGCCUCCCCCCAUAUCUCUCUCCACCUAACAAUGAUUACAAUGCUACAAACACUCGGUGCAGCGUACGGUAUGAAUUUUUCUAUGAAGGGAUUUGACAGGACAUCUGUUCCGUCGGAGGCACAACACCCAUUUCUACGGCAACUGCGCUGCCGCGACACACUUGAGGCGUGGGGGUUCAGCCUCCAUGAA
ensembl:lncRNA